UACGUAGGGGGCAAGCGUUGUCCGGAAUUAUUGGGCGUAAGAGCUCGUAGGUGGUUUGUCGCGUUGUUCGUGAAAACUCACAGCUCAACUGUGGGCGUGCGGGCGAUACGGGCAGACUUGAGUACUGCAGGGGAGACUGGAAUCCUGGUGUAGCGGUGGAAUGCGCAGAUAUCAGGAGGAACACCGGUGGCGAAAGCACUCUGCUGGGCCGACACUGACACUGAGAGACGAAAGCUAGGGGAGCAAAUGGG
rnacentral:rRNA from 1 species